ACGCGAAAGUCCCCUUCGGGGGACAAGUAGAGUGGCGCACGGGUGAGUAACACGUAGGUAAUCUACCUUCGGAUGGGGAAUAACAACCGGAAACGGUUGCUAAUACCGCAUAAUGCAGCGGCACCUAAUGGUGACAGUUGUUAAAGCGGGGGAUCGAAAGACCUCGCGUCUGAAGAGGAGCCUGCGGCGGAUUAGCUAGUUGGUAGGGUAACGGCCUACCAAGGCGACGAUCCGUAGCCGGCCUGAGAGGGCGGUCGGCCACACUGACACUGACAUACGGGUCAGACUCCUACGGGAGGCAGCAGUCGGGAAUUUUGGGCAAUGGGCGAAAGCCUGACCCAGCAACGCCGCGUGAAGGAUGAAAUCCCUCGGGAUGUAAACUUCGCAAGAACGGGAAGAAUAAGUAGGGGACAAUACCCCCUAUGAUGAUGGUACCGUUUGUAAGCUCCGGCUAACUCCGUGCCAGCAGCCGCGGUAAUACGGGGGGAGCAAGCGUUG
rnacentral:rRNA from 1 species